rnacentral:rRNA from 1 species
CCUACGGGAGGCAGCAGUGAGGAAUAUUGGACAAUGGGCGCAAGCCUGAUCCAGCCAUGCCGCGUGCAGGAAGACUGCCCUAUGGGUUGUAAACUGCUUUUAUACAGGAAGAAUAAGCCUUACGUGUAAGGUGAUGACGGUACUGUAAGAAUAAGGACCGGCUAACUCCGUGCCAGCAGCCGCGGUAAUACGGAGGGUCCAAGCGUUAUCCGGAAUUAUUGGGUUUAAAGGGUCCGUAGGUGGAUGAUUAAGUCAGGGGUGAAAGUUUGCAGCUCAACUGUAAAAUUGCCUUUGAUACUGGUUAUCUUGAAUUGUAUUGAAGUAGGCGGAAUAUGUAGUGUAGCGGUGAAAUGCAUAGAUAUUACAUAGAACACCAAUUGCGAAGGCAGCUUACUAAGUACUAAUUGACACUGAUGGACGAAAGCGUGGGUAGCGAACAGGAUUAGAUACCCUGGUAGUCCAUGCCGUAAACGAUGGAUACUAGCUGUUCGGAAGUUAAUUCUGAGCGGCCCAGCGAAAGUGAUAAGUAUCCCACCUGGGGAGUACGUUCGCAAGAAUGAAACUCAAAGGAAUUGACGGA